AAGUCGUAACAAGGUUUCCGUAGGUGAACCUGAGGAAGGAUCAUUAUUGAUUUUAGUUAUUUGUGAACGUACUACGAACAAACAAAAAAAUAUUAUAGUCAAAAAAAAAUUAAAUCAAAACUUUUAACAAUGGAUCUCUUGGUUCUC
rnacentral:misc_RNA from 1 species